rnacentral:rRNA from 1 species
UGGGGAAUAUUGGGCAAUGGGCGAAAGCCUGACCCAGCAACGCCGCGUGAAGUAUGAAGGCCUUCGGGUUGUAAACUUCUUUGAUCAGGGAAGAAACAAAUGACGGUACCUGAAAAACAAGCCACGGCUAACUACGUGCCAGCAGCCGCGGUAAUACGUAGGUGGCGAGCGUUAUCCGGAUUUACUGGGUGUAAAGGGCGUGCAGGCGGGCUGAUAAGUCAGACGUGAAAUCCCCGAGCUUAACUCGGGAACUGCAUCUGAUACUGUUGGUCUUGAGUGCUGGAGAGGAUAGUGGAAUUCCUAGUGUAGCGGUAAAAUGCGCAGAUAUUAGGAGGAACACCAGUGGCGAAGGCGGCUAUCUGGACAGUAACUGACGCUGAGGCGCGAAAGCGUGGGUAGCAAACAGG